GUCCCGAUUUUUCCGUCCGUGACGCGACAGCGUGGCGGCGCGGCGCGGCGCACGGGACCCCAUGGCGGCGGCGCGGCUCCGUUGGCCGGAGGAGCGUGCAGCGGACUCGCACCGCGCGCUGCUCCGUCGAACGGCGCCGACCACGUUGCACGCGCAUGGGCUUGAGGUGCGGAGCGGUCGGGAGAUGGCGGUGGCGCGGCGCCGUACUUGAGGAAGCUGACGACGACGUGAAUGGCAAGGCCGCCCUUCGCGUCUCUGUCUGUAAAGGUUGCGGGUUGUGCGGAAACCAUCGACGCGACGAGCGUAGACAGGUGUAUCCGUCAUUUGCCGCCGGAUUCCUUCGGCCUCAGCCAGGACCUUGUGUGCCCUUCUCUGAUGUUGUGAAAUGUUAACUCAUGCAUGCCGACAGCCGCCACCAUGCUCCAGCUGCCUCAGGCUUCAGGGUGAUGAAUUAGUCAAGCUAUUAAAUGGCAGCGACGUUCCUCACACACGCUUCCAAUGCAGAAUUGCUGGCAGGGCCAUCAUCACCUAUGUCUUGACUUGAUUCAGAUGGACUCAAGAAUUGUGUGCUUUCACGGUAUAGAUGAACUGCUACUACAAGCCCUCAAGAGGAGGAGGUGAAGAUGGAGCGCAAUGGUGGCGGUCUUGGCCUUGCUCUCACUAUUAUGGCUGCCAUCUGGCUUCUCUGCCGCAUCGUUGUUUUUGCCAGCAGCGGCGGCUCUUUGCUGUCGAUUGAUCGCAUGGUAACUCCACUUCAUUCCCAGAUGUUCUUGCUCAGUUCAGUAUGUCCUCACAAGCAGCAAUGAUUGUGAUGUUGUUUUGUGGCUCUGCCUGCCUUCCUGUUUAGAUUUGAACUUACAACACAUGAAAUUAAUACUGUUUUGUUUGUUCAUGAGCAAACAAUAGGAUUUGGUUGCAGAUUUGUUUUCCUUUAUUUUGUUCAAUAGUUUUGGGUCAAGAUUCAAGGAUUGGGAUGGAUAAGAGUCUGCUGUUUCAGGAUUCUGUAUGUGAAAAAUGAGAUUUUAUGGUAAUUCAUUUGUCAGUCUGAAUGCGGAUGUUCAAUAAUAAAAUGUUAGAUAUGAAAAAUCUUUCAUUAGAUAGUACAGUUUGUGAAUUAAAUGAACACCCGAUGUUACAGUGUGAACUAGCUAAUGUCAUAAGCCGUGCGUUAAAAUAGAGUUCUGAACUUAUGUGUAUAUAGCACAGAGAACAUAUAAAGUUAUGAACACUGCUUAGUUCAACUGGUUCCUAAACUAAUCAGUAAGUUUAUCCAGGGAUUUACAUGUCUUCCUUUUAGAUUGAUUUAAAUUGAUGACAACAGAAUGUCCUUUUUGUUUUUUCUCUUCCUUGUGCAUACCUUCAGAAGAUAAAAAAUACACCCGUGGCUGGCGUUUGAAUUGCCUUCAUGUCAUUCUUACAAAUGAUGCUCCUGCUUCAUAGUCAUGUUUGUACAAUAACUCUUUAGUCAAGCUCAUAUUACUGACAACUUUACAUCAUGUCCCUAAAAUCUUCUGUUUAUCCCAUGGGAAUCUUUUGCAUCAUGUAUGUUCCAGAAUAGGCAUCUGGACUUGUGAUUUUUUUGAAUCUGGUUUUAGUGAUGACUUUCACCAUCAGCCGUUUAAUUGCUCUGCUAAGUUUCCUCAGCGGCAUUCAAGGAGAUGCCUGGUGGCAGUUGUUGCCGAUGCAGCUAUGCGCCAUUGUCCUUUCAUUGCUCCAUGUUGAUGGGCCCUCAGAGGUGGCCAAUUGUGGGUGACAGGUGGCCAUAAGCACAAUAGAAGGCACCACGCAGAGCUAGAAGAGGAUGCUGGCCGGCAGACCACCUCUCUUGCCGUCAAGGGCACCAUUCAGCCGCCUUUUUUUUUUUUUUUUUGCUUCAGAGGCUUCUUGUGCUGCUACAGUAACUGGAUGCUUUAAAGGAUUUGAAUGGAGUUCAUUCUAGGUGGGUGUGCAAAUCAGCAGCCUGCUGCCAUGUCUUUUCUUGCCGGAACCCCCCGCUGCUGGAUGCUCCCCUCCCGUCCUGGCACGGCAAGGCACAUCUGCCUCUUGUGUGAAGAGAGUCGCUGGGAGAAGACAACAAGGAUGACUCUGUCCAUAUUCCAGGUCGCUCUUCCUGCCGUGCCCUGCCUCAGUUCACGUUUGCAUCCUGAGGCGAUUUCUGAGCUAUCGGGUUCUUGAUUUCGUGCACAGGUGGGGAUUGCGUUGCCCUGUGGAAUGGGUUCCCGUACCUUCUCUGUGCCGAGGCUGGUUGCUACCCCUGCUUGCGGCCGGCGGCUGCAAGGUGAGUUGAUUUGUUGGUUUGUUCAUGGCCUGGUUCUACCUGGCUCCUAUUGUUCUUCCCUUGUCUACUAUUUCGAUUGGUAGAGAGUUGUCUCGAGCAUAAAACCAGGAUAAUCAUUGAGAGACAUACCAUGGAGUGUUGAUGGUGUAAAUCUGGACAGUUGUGUCGUCUGAAACAAGAAUUUGGCCACAAAUCGUGUUGCUGCGAAUCUCAUCUUUCCUUUGUGAAGUCUGGUCAUUCUUCCUCAAAUUGGAUUGUUCGCAAUGUUCUGCAGCUAGGACUAGCUCGUGCAGGCUGACCCUUUGAUUAUAGUAGGUGUUCAAAUAGUGUCAUAUCUCAUAUGUCAAUGGCUUCUAGGUGCAGACCCUCAGUAUUAGGUGCUGUAUGUAGGAAUUGUACAUCGAUGGAAGUAUAUGAUGGUGCAACUCGCAUUUAGCCCAUAAGCAGACCUUUAGAGUGUGAUGUUUUAUCUUAUAGGCAUUUAUCAAAGCUAGCCCUGCUGCUUGGGUAAAUUCCGAGUGUUACCUGAAGUACACUGGGGCUAGACACUGUUGAUUUUUGCCUUACCCUGGUUUGCCGGUCUCUGUUUGCUUAUCUGGUACAGUGUCACCGAAAUAUCCGACCCGAAGCCAACCUCUCCUCCUUCUAGAUGGCCCCAGUAUCCACCGCUAAUCUCUCAUCUCACCUUUUCUCAGAGAGAGAGAGAGAGGGAGAGAGACGCCUCCACCGGUCGGAAGGCCGUUCGAUGUCCGAGAGAAAGGGCGGAAGGCCGUUCCCCGGCCAACACAGAUCCAUCCCUCGCCGCUCUACAGCCGCCGUUUAAUGCCCUCCCUAUACCUUCCCGGUGGUGCCCAGCCGCUCCCCCCCUCCUCUUUCACCAUCCUGGGCAAAAGGAGGCCCAGGCGCAGCAGUUGUGGCCGUGGUCUGGUCAAGAUGGCGCCAUGGUCCAUGCUAUGGACGAGGAGCUAUGGGACGAGGCCGUCUCCCCUUCUCCUCUUUGCGUGAUUUGGGUCAGAAGCCUUUAAUCUUCUCCGAUUUGGUCGCUCCAAUGGUCCAGCCUCUGCUUUGGUCGAUCGUUUAGCUCAUGACCCUGUGCUUUAUUUUGUCUGUCCUCAAAUUAUGAUUUUGUAUCAUAUAUGUGUCCUGCUUCCCUUCAAAAUUGUGGAUUCCGAAAUUUAUGAUUUAUUUUCCGAAUUUGAUAUUGUCGAUGCUUAUCGUCAUCAUCCAGUUGGAUUAGGAACCGCGAUGAUGUCCAGUGCAGUUUCCUAUUCAUAAUUUUAUGAUCUCUGUAUAUUCAUGCGGUCAUGCCUAAAUCUGUAUAUUGUGCCAUUGAACGUUUCACAUUAUUUCUAUACCAUGGGACAGUAGGAAACUAAGUGCACAAGUGGGAAGAUUACUGCUCAGUAUUGUAGCCUUUAUGUAUGUUUUAGUCAUACUUUCCCAACAAUGAAGUGAAUGCUGAUAAUUCUGAAGUAUAUUAACUUCAAUCUAAGGCUGGUUCCAGCAUUAGGAUAAAGAAAUGCUCUGCAACAGAUUGGUAAUUGUGAAUAUACACUCGCUGGAAGAUACCUUGAGAAUUCAUCAUGUGUAGUGCUUUACUUUGUUGAGUCCACUUUUAGUUUAGCACUAAUUAACUAACUCUUUGGUGCUCAGUUACCUCCGUGUAAAUAGAUAUGGCUUCAUCCUGUUAGCUGCUUUCCUGGGCGAAUUGCUCCUUGUAUUAGUUACAUCAUGUAACCUAUACAUCAUAGUUCAUUCUUGAUUUUAGUUCAGUUUCUGGUUUCGUAUUAUGAUGGUUUGACCUGCAUCAUGCCUUUAUGAAAUAUGUACAUGAGAAUAUGGAUGUCAUCUAAUAAAUUAAAUUAGAUUUUUAUAUGGAGUAAUAUUGGUACACUAAGCGUUAUUGCUUGAUAAAGAACUGUUGCAUGUGGCGGAAGCUACAGCAAUGCCACCAUACUGUACAUGGCUCAAAUCUUGAAAUUCUUGGCUGCGUGCCACACCUGGUCUUUAAAAAUCAUGUCUUAAGGUUGAGCAAUUUCAGUUUGAGAAACCUACUUGGUGUUCUUGCAUUUCCUGAUAUAUUUGACAAACUUCUGUUGUGGCGAGUUUACGAUGGGUUUCAAUUUGGUGUAGUGAUCAAUCACUGAUGUCAUAUAUUUAUAACAGAGGGGGGAAAUGAAUACUUAUCAAAAAGUUCCUUUUGCAUAAAGCAGUUUUUGGGAGAUUUGGGAGUACAAAUGCCUAGUUCUAAUCUAUAGAGCCAACGAGACCCAUAAACAUUCUCAAACUAAUGUUUCAUAUUAAAAGACAAAUUGAUCGUGAUUUCAGUCGAGUGUACAUGUUGCACGAGAAUGACAUACUAAAAUGUUGAGCAAACCGAGGCUGGUGGUUUCUAUGCAAAACGAAGCUCUCCCCCUGAAUCAUUCUUUACUUCUAUUUUCCUGUAGCAAUUUUUGUACAUGUAUGUAGUUCCAAGGUGCAGAUAGUUAGCAUUUGGCUUUCUCUACUAUCGUUUGUCUUUUUAUAUCUUACCCCAUUUUACAUCAGUAAUUAUAGGAGAAGUUUAUCAUUAAGAAUCACACUAAUUAAUUGGGUUUACUUUAGGCACGAUCACACAAGAAAUCUAUGUUGAUUACAGGAAAGGCAUGCUCAUUUGUUCUCAGUACUGUUUUGAUUUUUCUACAAACAAUUGGCUUUGUACAGGUAAUUGAUAUAACCUACACAAUUGGGUUGUAUAAGAAUCAGGUUGCUACACUAUACUCCAGUGCCUUUCUGUUCAAUUUUCUGUUUGAUUACUGCAUCUUUCAUCUUUUCUAAUAUUAGGCGAUUAUGCUGGGUCAUUUGUGGCAUGCUCUUCUCUCUUUGCAUAGUGGAAAUACUUUUUGAUUACCAUUAGAAUAGGAGAUCACGCAAAGAUGUAUGCCAAGUUCUUAUUAUCAUCUAGCUAUUGGUUCCUAUCGAUAUUCAUGUCAAAUCUUGACAAGAUAUUUAUUGUUGUGAUUCAAGUAAGUAGGGGUGCAAAUUUAAAGCCAUCAUCUGGCCCUCCUUAGUUCAAAUAAAUGAACUAAAAUUUCAAGUUAAAUCAUGCAUUAUUUAAAUAGUUUCUACUUUGAGCUCUUCAAAUUUUAUGGAGAUACUCUCUCAAAUUUUGUUGUGUCCAGCAAGAAUGAAAAAAAAAUGUUCUUAACUGCAUUUUCUUCCUGCCUUUGAUUUCAGACAAUGUGCAUAUAUAUCUUAGGAUUCUCGAACCAGUGACAAUGUGGAAGGCACAUCCUUCGGUGCUUAGAUAUGCAACUUUUGAGUCUCUGCAGUGAAGAUUUCGCAGAACACGCAUUAGGGAUUAUCGACAUACAGAAAAUUGUCACAUCAUUACUAACUGCGGCAAAGAUUAGCAGCGAGUGCGAGGACGUCGUCCGAUGCUCGGGAAACGCUGCAGGAGUUCGCCUGUUCGGAGUUGUAGAGUGCAACCACGACCUCUUCCCUGCCAGCACCUGAUCUAGCGUCGUUCGUCCCACGACGGCGAGAUCCAGUUCCCCUGUGGCCUCUUCCUUCGGCCUUGGUUGACAAAAAGCAGUAAGAAAUCCUCACAUUUCCAAAUUUCUUUGCUACAAUUCAAUUACCUCUUCUCACCGUGCAAAUUUAAGAAACUCAACAACACAUUCUGAAGUGUUGUUUGUUGAUCAACUGGUUUAAUCAGUGCUGGCUUUGCGAGACUGUUGUCGUGUGAAAUUUUCAGAAGGAAAAAAUGCCUGUAGAUAUUGCUCUUCAAUCAUAUGACAAUAAACAUCAAUCUUCUCUUUUCUAUGCUGAAUGGUCAUUGCUGCUUGAUUUAGUGCGUUGCUGUGCAGUAAAUAUCAAGGCUUAAUUAGUAUAAGACUAAUAACAAUGGAAGAUCUAGAAGUUUCUAUCUCUGAACUUGCAGAGUUCUCCGAGCUUAGGAUAGCAAGACAUUGUCGAGGUUCACAAAGAGUAAAAGGCGACCUUACAUGAGCAUAACAAUAGCAGUACAAAUGCCAAAAGAAUUUGGCACACAAGUACAUAGUUACCACAACAAUAUUAGUACAUCAUAAAUGAUUGCUACGUCAUAAAACUCAGCGUCUAAGUUCCCCUCUCAGAACACACACAGUUAUAUUAUCCAGCAUAUCACUUCAGGAUGAACACACAGGUUUGCUCAGUGUUAUCCAUCGGUUAGGGGCAUGCAUCCUUCUAUUCUGUAUCUUGAUAUACAGAAAGAAAUACUAUGUAUUGUUUACUCUUACUGAAUUGAUAAUGAGGUCUUAGCUGUAAUGUUAAUAUCCGUGAAAUCAAUAUCUAAGGUUGCUAUUCUUAAGAUUUAGUCGUUUCGUACUCCUAAUUUUGCACUGGGAUUUAAUGAACAUGAAUGCAGAAAAGGUUAACAUGCCUUGAACAUCUUUAUUUACUGAACAGAAAUAGACAAUUCAGUGUGAAAAUUUGGAUUUUGGAACACGCCUAUGCUUGAUAGGAUUUGUGUAUCUCACCCUUCCAAUGAAAUGAACUGUAUGGCAUCUAAAUUUCGACCCUCCGCCGCUAGAUCAUUUGCUGUGAAGAAGUCUCCAGUAAGCGAUUGAAGUGUACACUGGAUAUUGCACUUCCAAUUGCGUGAUCCAUAUUGGUUGACUGAACACAUAAUUACCUUUUUUAUGUCCUGCAAAUAUGUGGUGUUUUGCAGAUUUAUGUUAACACAAGCUCACACCAUAUAUUUUCUAUGUACCUCUGUAUCCCAAUGGAAAAUGCAUUCUACAGAGCACUGUAACUUGGCAGUGCUUAUCUUUUCCUGAUUGACACAUGCAUUUCUUGAGAUGGACCAAAGCAGAACCUUGAUUCCGUAUAGUUUGCUUGCAUUCAGCUAACUUAAUAGCAGCGAACUAUCAAAUGAUUUCUGAACAAUAGUUAUUUGAUAUAAUUUUUGUUUUCUAUCACCAAUAAUGGUUGCUCCUCUGAUGCAUGUAGGCUAUAUCAUCAUUCAAGGAGAUUGUGGCAAAAUGAAGUGCGAUGCUAGAAACUUUCUCGUGAUACAAAAAACUCUGAAUCGUGGCAUUGUGUAGUGAAAAUAUGAAGAGGCUGGUACCAUUAUUAGUUUUUUACUGACCAGAAAAUUGUACUACCUCCGUAAACUAAUAUAAGAGCGUUUAGAAUACUAAAGUAGUAAUCUAAACACUCUUAUAUUAGUUUACAGAGGGAGUACUAUGUAUCUUCUAGGAUUGUUCUUGAUGCAUAUUUUGCUCAAGUUAAGUCUUUAUACCAUAUGAAUGGUUCUGCACACUCUCGCUGCCAUAUCACUAAAAUUAUUUUUCCGUGUAAAUCAUUGGUCACACUUUUCUCAUAAUUCUACUCAGGUCAAAAUGUCGUAGAAAUUGUGUUUUCUGGUGUUUACGAGCAAGGAUGUCAGCAUUGUGGGUUGGGGCAUGGUUGGGCUUUGUCUUGGCGGAGUGGCUACAUACUUUAGAGUUGUGUUGAGGGAUUUUUUUGCAUUAGCAAUUAAUAACUCAAGUAUAUUUUUAAAGAUGUUUCUUGCUUGGUGCUCUUCUUUGGUUUCUGAUCAGUUUGUGCCUGUUGUGUAGUGUGUAGGCUAUGUUCUAUUGGUUUGGACUGCCUUGAAUUGUUUGUUAUCGGAUAGAAAAUGCAACUCAGUACUCCAUUAUGUGUCACAACAGGUUUGGUAUAGACGUUUCAGGCUGACUCCUUACUUUUGCUUGCUCGAAGUUUAAGGUGCAUGCCACUUAAUUUUCUUCACGGGAGGAGGGUUGGCCAGAAGUAGGUGAGGUAAAAAAGUAGGCUCCAUCCCUCUUACAUCUGUUCAGACUACUGAAUUUGGUUCCCUUACUCAUUUCAGUUUCACUUGGUGUAUGUGAAGCAAUGCAAUUUACUUCCAUUGCUGCCAUCUUGCUUUUCGUGAGUUAAUUCUGUACAAUUAGUCAACAUUGUAGACGGUGGCCUGAUAGAGCGUUUUCUGUAAUGCAUGGUUAAAUAGCUUUUAGGUUGAUUUGAUAAGACAACUUUUUCUAAUGUCAGGCUUAGUUUACUUUUUGUAAGAGUAGGUUUGAUCCAUGUAAAUAUGCUUUAACAACUGAAAUUUUGACACAUGACAUGUUUUUAUUUGUUAUAUUUUAAGCUUGAAACUCAAAUCUCAGCUAUUCCCUAAAUAUUUAAAUACUGAACCUUUUGUUUUCUACACUGCCAUGGUCUCCGUGGUAUUAUUUUGAUAGCCUCACAACCACUAAUUGCUAUUAUAUAAAAAAAAAGGGCAACCUGGUGCAUGUAGCUCCCGCUUGCGCAGGGUCCAGGGAAGGGUCCGACCACUUUGGGUCUAUAGUACGCAGCCUUUCCCUACAUUUCUGUAAGAGGCUGUUUCCAGGACUUGAACCCAUGACCUCAUGGUCACAAGGCAGCAGCUUUACCACUGCGCCAAGGCUCCCCUUCUACUAAUUGCUAUUAUAUGAAAUGAUAAAUUAAUGUGGGCAGUCAUGACUAUUUUAUACAUCGAUGGUCUAAACUAGAAAUGUUUGACUGCGCGUUACACAUCAAGGAGGGGGUAUUCAUGUGUGUGGUCUGCAGUGGUAUAUCAGUUAAAGAUGUGCUAAUUUUGUUGUUAAUGCUUUGACAUGCUAUGAAAGUUUUCUGUAUGGCAAAGGACGUGUUCCUUACUUUCUCCUGUGUAUUUAUUUCAGAAGUUCUUCGAGCAUUUGUUUUUAACUUGUAGCUUAUAUUGACAGCCAUGGUUGUGUGCCUUGGUAGAUUGAAGUAGUGGCAUGUAACUGAUUUCACAUUCUUCUAUGAAUAAUACCCGGACUGCUCUGUGCUAGAUACAUCCGCUUGAGCGACAAUUAGUUCCAGACGGAGGGAGUAUGUUUUUUGAAGACUGCUCUGUCUUUUUUCCUUCUAGUUACUGGCCAUAAGCCCUUAGCUAAUGCCAACUCUGCUGUAACAUGCCUAUUGACCACCAGAAACCACUUUGUUUUCUGUGUAUGCUGGCCAUUUCAGUGUAGUUGUUUGAUAUGCUGCCAACAACUUUGCCCUUUCUUCUUUCUUACUCCCUCGGUCCCAUAAUGUAGUGCACAUUGGUUUUCCUGAAAGUCAAGCUUCAAAAACAUUGACCAAAUUAUUGAGAAAAAUCUAAUAUGUUUCAUGAAAAUAUAUAUCAAAUAUAUAUCACAUGAAAAUAUAUUUCAUGAUGAAUCAAUUGCUUUUUAUUUCGUAUUUUGGAUGUUGAUAAUUUGUUUCUGUAUAUUUGGUCAAAGUUUACAAGGUUUGACUUAAAAAAAAUCUAAUAUGUACUAUAUUUUGGGACAGAGGGAGUGCUAUUUAGUUAUUUCCUCGAGCAAAUCGAUGCUUAUUUAUGCUAAUGCAUAUGUUGUUUUAGUUCUAGUUGUGUGCAUGGCAUAUUGUUUUUCUAGAAGAUGCAGUUCUGAAUUUUCUCAUGGGUCUAUGAAUCUAUUAUUGCAUGAACUGGUGAUAUGCGGUCAAGUUGACUGACACCAUUUGGCAUUUCUAGUGCUUGAGUUGACAAAUUCGAUGUAAUCAAAUAGUGUCCCUAGAACUUAAAAAGUCAUCUAUUUAUCUAGUGUAAGUGUUGUCCUUUCCUUUUUAUGUGCCGGAAUUCUUCUACAUUCUGAGCAUCAACACACUUUUAGAUAGUACACUGGCACUGCUGCACUGGUGAUUCUAUCUUCUUUAAUACUCCCUCUCUUCACUUUUAUAAGACGUUUUAGACAGUUUAGACAGCACCCAAAACAGUCCAAUGCCAGCUCUGAAACGUCUUAUAAACGGAGGGAGUAUGUGAUUUAUGCUUCUGAAAGUGUCCACUAGGUUUUAUUGCUUGAUGAAUUGAGUGUUGUUUUUUGAGGAAUUGACUGUUGUAUUUGCUUAUAGGUGCAAUAUUUUGUAUCAAAUUUACCUUUAACAAUCUGUUACUAACCUUGGUUUUCCUUUGUCUCUGUCCCUUUUUUCGUCCCCUCCAAUGAUGGUGCCUGGACUAUGACCUCUGCCUUUUCAUGUUUGAUUUUCCUCUGCUGCUGCUAGGUAUUGUUUUGGCUUUUGUUUAUACAGGGUGCAUACUCACAUAAUGCUCCUUGCUCUGAAACAUUUAGUUUGACGGCCAUAUUCUGUUUGUACAUGCAAUUAUUUCUAAUAUGUAAGCAUAUUUGUAGGAUCAUACAGUGGCAGACUACGCACUCUCUAUAGUUAGUAUAUUUACUUACAGUCUUGGAUACACUAAAUGAGAACAAAGUUUGGAUGUGUCAUUGUCUGCACUCAAAUAGUUUCCUGAUGAAUAUGACGGAGCUACAUCUCUUUGACUGAAGAAAAUGAGGACCAAGCUCUCAAGACAGUUUUGUGUCUUCCACAGCAGGGCAAUUGCCUGAAAGAACCAUAACGUCAGUCCAUGCAUUCAGUUGUCUGUGCAGCAGCCUGCCAGCUGUCAUUUGAUUUGUAAUAACAUUAAUGUGGUCAUGUAGGUUACACAUGUACUAAGAACUGGUUGACUAUGUAUGACCAUCAGGUGAACUAAUAUUUCCUAUUAUUUGUUCAUUUCAGCCGUUUCACUUUCGUUUGUUACAUGUAUGUACAGGUACAAUGUCAUUGUCAUAUUAAUACUAUCGACGUGUGUUUGGUUC